UACGUAGGUGACCAGCGUUGUCCGGAUUUACUGGGCGUAAAGGGCAUGCAGGCGGUCGGACGCGUUUCGGGUGACAGCGGGUGGCUUAACUACCCGAGUGGUCGAAAGACGGUUUGACUUGAGGACGCGAGAGGGACACGGAGUUCCGGGUGGAGUGGUGAAAUGCGUAGAGAUCCGGAGGAACACCGAAGGCGAAGGCAGUGUCCUGGCGCGUAACUGACGCUGAGGUGCGAAAGCCAGGGGAGCGAACGGG
rnacentral:rRNA from 1 species